AUAAUGCGCUGGGGGAGCCUGGAUUUGCAUUUGCAUCUUCUUAAAUAUGGCUGAGAACUUUAAACUCUUAUACACCUGAUCAGGUUAAUACCUGCGAAGGGAAGCGUUUCUGUUUAAAA
rnacentral:ncRNA from 2 species